UGCACUAAUUGUAUAAAUACGCUAAAACUGCUCAACUUAUACAUAUACAUAACUCUGUCUGUCUCAUAAAAUGAGACCUUUUCUUCUCUUUCAUCAUAAUACUUUUUGACUCAAUAGAUUUCCCCUAGCGAGCGUUUCUUGAAAAUGCAAUGGAAUACAGAAUUCUCUCAAGAACUAUUUGGCUUAACUAACUACAAAUAUGUUAAUGAUUUCUUAUUUUAUGAGGCUCGGUACUAAACUACAGUGACAUCUACAGGUAGAUUUUAUACAUAAUUUCGAAUUAAAAAUUUUAAAUUAUGUCAAAGGCAAUUAUUUUAGAAAAAUUCAUCAUUUUGAGUUUUAAUAUAAGAUAUUCAUGCCAUGGAGGUUACAAAAUUUACGUAGGUUAACGUAAGACCUUCGGAACAUUUAACAAACGGAUCUUCCUGCAGUUAAAUUUGCAUAGCCAGUCGUUCAUGCGUCGACACAGUCACGUAUUCAUGCAUACACGAGUUGAGUGUCAAUUUCUACCGGUGUUACAUAACAAUUACUGCACCACGACCGAUAUCAUCGUGUUUCAUGCAUCCAUGAAAAUUUAUCCAAGUAUUGGUACUUAUUAAGGCACGUUAUUUAGUAUAAUUAUUCAAUUACCAUAUAGAAAAAUAAGCUUUUUUUGUAAAGAAAGUGUCCGUUAUUAAAGAA